rnacentral:rRNA from 1 species
UACGUAGGCAGCGAGCGUUGUUCGGAGUUACUGGGCGUAAAGGGGGUGUAGGCGGUUGUUUAAGUUUGGUGGGAAAUCUCCCGGCUCAACUGGGAGGGCGCGCCGAAUACUGAAUGACUUCGAGUGCGGGAGAGGAGAGUGGAAUUCCUGGUGUAGCGGUGAAAUGCGUAGAUAUCAGGAGGAACACCGGUGGUGUAGACGGCUCUCUGGACCGUAACUGACGCUGAGACACGAAAGCGUGGGUAGCAAACAGG